CCUUAAAUUGCUCCCACAACGGGUUGUUUAUCUCCAUCCACAAAAGUCACUUGUGACUGUUGCAUCAGGUUCCUCUUUUUCAAAUAUGAAAAUGAAUAUUGUACCUACACUGUGUUUUAUCUUCAUGUUUGCACUGACAGAAUAUUGUUGGUGUCAGACACUGACUGAGUCUGAGGCAGUGGUCAUUAAACCCGGAGGAUCUCACAGACUCACCUGUACAGCAUCUGGAUUUGGUGGUGACUAUGAUAUGUCCUGGAUUCGUCAGGCUUCAGGAGGAGGCUUGGAGUGGAUUGCAUACAUCACAUCUGGUGGUGGUUCUAUAUACUACUCUCAGUCUGUUCAGGGACGGUUCACCAUCUCCAGAGACAACAACAAGAAACAGAUGUAUCUACAAAUGAAUAAUAUGAAGAAAGAAGACACUGCUGUGUAUUAUUGUGCAAGAGAGCCACAGUGA